rnacentral:rRNA from 1 species
UGGGGAAUUUUGGACAAUGGGCGAAAGCCUGAUCCAGCAAUGCCGCGUGUGUGAAGAAGGCCUUCGGGUUGUAAAGCACUUUUGUCCGGAAAGAAAUCCUUGGCUCUAAUACAGUCGGGGGAUGACGGUACCGGAAGAAUAAGCACCGGCUAACUACGUGCCAGCAGCCGCGGUAAUACGUAGGGUGCAAGCGUUAAUCGGAAUUACUGGGCGUAAAGCGUGCGCAGGCGGUUUGCUAAGACCGAUGUGAAAUCCCCGGGCUCAACCUGGGAACUGCAUUGGUGACUGGCAGGCUAGAGUAUGGCAGAGGGGGGUAGAAUUCCACGUGUAGCAGUGAAAUGCGUAGAGAUGUGGAGGAAUACCGAUGGCGAAGGCAGCCCCCUGGGCCAAUACUGACGCUCAUGCACGAAAGCGUGGGGGAGCAAACAGGAUUAGAUACCCUGGCAGUCCACGCCCUAAACGAUGUCAACUAGUUGUUGGGGAUUCAUUUCCUUAGUAACGUAGCUAACGCGUGAAGUUGACCGCCUGGGGAGUACGGUCGCAAGAUUAAAACUUAAAUGAAUUGACGGGGUCAUAGCUGUUUCCU